rnacentral:misc_RNA from 1 species
GCAGGAUGCGGCCACAUCCUCUUCAUCUUCCUCGAAGUAUAGAGCAAACCAGCAGGCUAAGAAUAUAUCAAAAAACACUCCUUAGCCUGCAGUGCAGCAGCUAUAGAAUCCUUGAUUGAUGCACAAGUGAGACCUUGUUAUAUAAGAGGUCUCGUAAUGGUAGAUGUGGAUAACUAUUGACAUCAAACAAAGAGGAAAACUGUACAGAGGGAAGAUAACUCCCUAAAUUUCGCCACCAUUUCAACUCCCGGAAGGCGCAAGCGCCUUUUCUUGGGUGGCUCUUAAGCUCACAGGGAUAGGGUGUUUCGGGAUUGGAGCUGGUACUGUGACGGUAUUGGGCGUGUGAACCUGCUCUUGCCCUGGAUUUCUUGUGUAAUUGAAAGAGAGGUCUUUGUUAGCUGCAAGAGCCAUCAGCUCCGAUUCUUCCAGCCCCUUUGCUGGACCGAGGCUGCAGCGAUCGGUUGUGUGCUUGGCCAGGGCAUCUCUGAAUUUCUUGAUAGUUGCAUUAG